rnacentral:rRNA from 1 species
CAGCCGCCACGGUAAUACAGAGGGUGCAAGCGUUAAUCGGAAUUACUGGGCGUAAAGCGCGCGUAGGUGGUUUGUUAAGUUGGAUGUGAAAUCCCUGAGCUUAACUUAGGAAUUGCAUUCGAUACUGGGAAGCUAGAGUAUGGGAGAGGAUGGUAGAAUUCCAGGUGUAGCGGUGAAAUGCGUAGAGAUCUGGAGGAAUACCGAUGGCGAAGGCAGCCAUCUGGCCUAAUACUGACGCUGAGGUACGAAAGCAUGGGGAGCAAACAGGAUUAGAUACCCCCGUAGUCCCUGUCUCUUAUAC